rnacentral:rRNA from 1 species
GAUGAACGCUGGCGGCGUGCCUAAUACGUGCAAGUCGAGCGAACAGACGAGGAGCUUGCUCCUCUGACGUUAGCGGCGGACGGGUGAGUAACACGUGGAUAACCUACCUAUAAGACUGGGAUAACUUCGGGAAACCGGAGCUAAUACCGGAUAAUAUAUUGAACCGCAUGGUUCAAUAGUGAAAGACGGUUUUGCUGUCACUUAUAGAUGUAUCCGCGCCGCAUUAGCUAGUUGGUAAGGUAACGGCUUACCAAGGCAACGAUGCGUAGCCGACCUGAGAGGGUGAUCGGCCACACUGGAACUGAGACACGGUCCAGACUCCUACGGGAGGCAGCAGUAGGGAAUCUUCCGCAAUGGGCGAAAGCCUGACGGAGCAACGCCGCGUGAGUGAUGAAGGUCUUCGGAUCGUAAAACUCUGUUAUUAGGGAAGAACAAAUGUGUAAGUAACUAUGCACGUCUUGACGGUACCUAAUCAGAAAGCCACGGCUAACUACGUG